rnacentral:misc_RNA from 1 species
GAUGAAGAGCGCAGCGAAAUGCGAUAAGUAGUGUGAAUUGCAGAAUUCAGUGAAUCAUCGAAUCUUUGAACGCACAUUGCGCCCUCUGGUAUUCCGGAGGGCAUGCCUGUCCGAGCGUUAUUAAACUCCUCAAGCAAUUCUUUUUGCUUGGUCAUGGUGGAAGAUGGCCUCUGGCCUUCCCCACUGAAAGUCAUCUGGCGGAGAGCCUGGUCUUUGCGGACGUAGUAAGAAUUUUCUAUCGUCUUAGCAAGCCAGUUAUUCAGCCGACAACCUAAACUGCUCAGGAUUUUCCUCGGAUCAGGUAGGGAUACCCGCUGAACUUAAGCAUAUCAAUAAGCGGAGGA